CCUACGGGAGGCUGCAGUGGGGAAUAUUGCACAAUGGGCGCAAGCCUGAUGCAGCCACGCCGCGUGUGUGAAGAAGGCCUUCGGGUUGUAAAGCACUUUCAGCGGGGAGGAAGGCGGUGAGGUUAAUAACCUCAUCGAUUGACGUUACCCGCAGAAGAAGCACCGGCUAACUCCGUGCCAGCAGCCGCGGUAAUACGUAGGGUGCAAGCGUUAAUCGGAAUUACUGGGCGUAAAGCGCACGCAGGCGGUCUGUCAAGUCGGAUGUGAAAUCCCCGGGCUCAACCUGGGAACUGCAUUCGAAACUGGGAGGCUUGAGUCGUGUAGAGGGGGGUGGAAUUCCAGGUGUAGCGGUGAAAUGCGUAGAGAUGUGGAGGAAUACCGGUGGCGAAGGCGGCCCCCUGGACAAAGACUGACGCUCAGGUGCGAAAGCGUGGGGAGCAAACAGGAUUAGAUACCCGGGUAGUC
rnacentral:rRNA from 1 species